rnacentral:rRNA from 1 species
CGGCUAUACAUGCAAGUCGAGCGGACAGAUGGGAGCUUGCUCCCUGAUGUUAGCGGCGGACGGGUGAGUAACACGUGGGUAACCUGCCUGUAAGACUGGGAUAACUCCGGGAAACCGGGGCUAAUACCGGAUGGUUGUUUGAACCGCAUGGUUCAGACAUAAAAGGUGGCUUCGGCUACCACUUACAGAUGGACCCGCGGCGCAUUAGCUAGUUGGUGAGGUAACGGCUCACCAAGGCGACGAUGCGUAGCCGACCUGAGAGGGUGAUCGGCCACACUGGGACUGAGACACGGCCCAGACUCCUACGGGAGGCAGCAGUAGGGAAUCUUCCGCAAUGGACGAAAGUCUGACGGAGCAACGCCGCGUGAGUGAUGAAGGUUUUCGGAUCGUAAAGCUCUGUUGUUAGGGAAGAACAAGUGCCGUUCAAAUAGGGCGGCACCUUGACGGUACCUAACCAGAAAGCCACGGCUAACUACGUGCCAGCAGCCGCGGUAAUACGUAGGUGGCAAGCGUUGUCCGGAAUUAUUGGGCGUAAAGGGCUCGCAGGCGGUUUCUUAAGUCUGAUGUGAAAGCCCCCGGCUCAACCGGGGAGGGUCAUUGGAAACUGGGGAACUUGAGUGCAGAAGAGGAGAGUGGAAUUCCACGUGUAGCGGUGAAAUGCGUAGAGAUGUGGAGGAACACCAGUGGCGAAGGCGACUCUCUGGUCUGUAACUGACGCUGAGGAGCGAAAGCGUGGGGAGCGAACAGGAUUAGAUACCCUGGUAGUCCACGCCGUAAACGAUGAGUGCUAAGUGUUAGGGGGUUUCCGCCCCUUAGUGCUGCAGCUAACGCAUUAAGCACUCCGCCUGGGGAGUACGGUCGCAAGACUGAAACUCAAAGGAAUUGACGGGGGCCCGCACAAGCGGUGGAGCAUGUGGUUUAAUUCGAAGCAACGCGAAGAACCUUACCAGGUCUUGACAUCCUCUGACAAUCCUAGAGAUAGGACGUCCCCUUCGGGGGCAGAGUGACAGGUGGUGCAUGGUUGUCGUCAGCUCGUGUCGUGAGAUGUGGGUUUAAUUCCCGCAACGAGCGCAACCCUUGAUCUUAGUGCAGCAUUCAGUUGGGCACUCUAAGGUGACUGCCGGUGACAACGGAGGAAAGGUGGGGAAUGAACGUCAAAUCAAUCAUGCCCC